GGCCUAAGAAAAUUUUAAUAGAUCAAAACAUUCUUAGCAUUGAAGCCAGGUGGAAAAACUGAUUAUACUUUUAACAUUUGGGUUAAACAUCUUCCACGAAAAAAUGGUACAUUAUAUUAUGUUUUUGGUCUCAGAGAUACUAGAUACAAAACACUAAUAAAUGCAGUUCAUUUGUACGCGGUAAGACUUUCUGAAUGACGUACAAAACACUCCUGCCAAUUUUCUAAUUGGACUUGUACUUAAUCUAUUAUUAUUAAAGGGGUCAUAUGACUUUGCUAAAAAGAACAAUAUUUUGUGUAUUUGGUGUAAUGCAAUGCGUUUAUGUGGCUUAAGGUUCAAAAAACAUACUAUUUUCCAUAUAAUGUGCAUUAUUGUUUCUCCUCUGUGCCCCGUCUUUCUGAAACGCAUCGAUUUUUACAAAGCUCAUUGUUCUGAAAUGCGAGGUGUGCUCUUAUUGGCCAGCUAUCCAGUGCGUUGUGAUUGGCCGAAUGCCUCAAGCGUCUGAUGGACAUGUUAUGCCCCUUAACAUACUGUGAUGUGUGUCCUGGCACGAUGAGACAAAAACAAUAAAACCCAUUACAAAGGAGGCAUUUGUUGCAUCCAGUGGGGACACAAUUACUAAAUAUAUAUUGACUUAUAUUGUCUUUCUACACGUUGCGCUGUGUAUCGCACUUUGUAAACACAAGACCACGUCUGCAUUUGUGAUCAGAGAAAUGACAAACAACAAGCACUACUCUACACUGUUCAUAACGUAUUUGAAUCAUCAGUGGCAAAUUCUUUAUGUAAACGUACUUACAGUCUGUGAGUCAGAACCGCCAGUCUGUCCUUGCAAAGUUCGAACUGCCCCACUUUAUAGAAACAGCCUUUGUGCACAGAAGCAUUGUAGGCUACUGGUUCAGGAAACAGUCCUCGUCCUCUGUAAAAUGCGCUGCACACAUCUUAAAGUCUCAAAUCCAAAGAGAUAUUCUUUAUAAAAGUUAAGAGUCAACCAAGCCCUCCUAAAACAGCUCGUUUAAACACGCCCCCACAUGUCUACUUCACGAUGUGGGAAGAUUUGCAUAAUGUCACAAAGAAAGAAGGUGUAACAUUUAUUCUCAUUGUAGUAUUGUUGUUGCCGCGCAGCCUUGUUGUGGAGAUGCUGUGUGUUUCACUGUGAAAGCGAAACUACUUUAUUUAGACUUCCAAAAGAGGGCGAUAUCCACUUUGUCAUGCCUAGAGUUAAUUCUAAUGACAAAACAUGAGAUUAAUCAUUUAUAAUUAUUUUAAUUUAGUGUCAGGUUUAAGCUAAGUUUGAAAACAAAUAUAGACCCAAUCUGUUUUCUACGUUGUUCUAUCUCUAGAUAUUCAACUAACGUGUUAACUUACAUACCUUUCCUUUCUGAAGUGGCGACAUCCUGUCUUCGUAAAUUGUGAAUACAGCAAAUCACCUUUUAUGAAUACGGUCAAUUUCAAAGUGUUUAUGUACAAAAGGAAUGAUCUUGGUCCCUUAAAGAGACUUAUUAGGGAUUUGCUGGAACGUCAUCAGUGCUAUUACUUCUGUGAUGCAUAUGAGAGUAUGCAGAGUUUCUGCGCAAGGGUGCCUUGCGGCUUCCAGUAUGUAAACAUGUGCUGUUUUUAGCAUUUAACAAUGGCCAGUCCAUCCUGUUUUGGGUAAAAAUAGGAAAAGAAUACUUCUCUCAUAAGAAAUUUAAAGUAGACAUAUGAUAAUCCAUGUUUUUCUCCAGUGUACAGAAGUGUACAGGAGUUAUGUAAAAAAAAAAAAAAAAAAAAAAAAUUUGCAAAUCACAAAAAAAACAUACUAAUGUGCCAAGCCAUCAGAACCGAAUACUGAAAUUUAAAAUAAAUUAAUAAUAAUAAUAAUAAUAAUAAACUAAUUUAAAAUAACCCUUUUCUGUUUUAAUUAAAUGUAAUUACUUUUUAGCAGCUGCAUUUUUAGCAGCCAUUACUCCAGUCUUCAGUGUCACAUAAUCUUUCAGAAAUCAUUCUUAUUUGGUGCUAAAGAAACAUUUCUUGUUAUUAUCAAUGUUGAAAACAGUUGUGAUACUUAAUAUUAUUGUAGAUACUGAGAUACAAGGCUUUAUGGUCG
ensembl:lncRNA